UACGUAGGCAGCGAGCGUUGUUCGGAGUUACUGGGCGUAAAGGGUGCGUAGGCGGUUGUUUAAGUUUGGUGUGAAAUCUCCCGGCUCAACUGGGAGGGUGCGCCGAAUACUGAAUGACUAGAGUGCGGGAGAGGAGAGUGGAAUUCCUGGUGUAGCGGUGAAAUGCGUAGAUAUCAGGAGGAACACCGGUGGUGUAGACGGCUCUCUGGACCGUAACUGACGCUGAGGCACGGAAGCGUGGGUAGCAAACAGG
rnacentral:rRNA from 1 species